UACGUAGGGGGCAAGCGUUGUCCGGAUUUAUUGGGCGUAAAGAGCGUGUAGGCGGCUAGGUAGGUCCGUUGUGAAAACUCGAGGCUCAACCUCGAGACGUCGAUGGAAACCAUCUAGCUAGAGUCCGGAAGAGGAGAGUGGAAUUCCUGGUGUAGCGGUGAAAUGCGCAGAUAUCAGGAAGAACACCCGUGGCGAAGGCGGCUCUCUGGGACGUGACUGACGCUGAGGCGCGAAAGCGUGGGGAGCAAACAGG
rnacentral:rRNA from 1 species